AAGUCGUAACAAGGUUUCCGUAGGUGAACCUGCGGAAGGAUCAUCAAUAGUCUCAAGUCUUGUCCAAGGCACCUAGGUGUUCUCUGGCUUGACAAAUACCUUCUUGUGCACUGUCUGUUGGUUAUGACUGACUGGGGGAGUUGCUGGGAUGUGCCUUGGCAUGUCUUGCGCCCCCAGCCGGUCGUUUGUUUAAUACAAACACUGUUAACAUAAUUGUCUCAGAAUCUUGUUGUGAAAAUUGUUGAAAUAUACAUACAACUUACAGCGAUGGAUCUCUAGGCUCUGGU
rnacentral:misc_RNA from 1 species